rnacentral:rRNA from 1 species
GACGAACGCUGGCGGCGUGCCUAACACAUGCAAGUCGAGCGGGGACAUUGGUUUCGGCUGAUGUUCUAGCGGCGGACGGGUGAGUAACGCGUGAGCAACCUUUCUCUUACUGGGGAAUAACACAGGGAAACUUGUACUAAUACCGCAUGAGACCACAGAAGGGCAUCCUUCAGGGGUCAAAGAUUUAUUGGUAAGAGGUGGGCUCGCGUCUGAUUAGAUAGUUGGUGGGGUAACGGCCUACCAAGUCGACGAUCAGUAGCCGACCUGAGAGGGUGAUCGGCCACAUUGGGACUGAGACACGGCCCAA